UACGUAGGGGGUAAGCGUUGUCCGGAUUUACUGGGCGUAAAGAGCGUGUAGGCGGCCAAGCAGGUCCGUUGUGAAAACUGGAGGCUUAACCUCCAGACGUCGACGGAAACCGCGUGGCUAGAGUCCGGAAGAGGAGAGUGGAAUUCCUGGUGUAGCGGUGAAAUGCGCAGAUAUCAGGAAGAACACCAAUGGCGAAGGCAGCUCUCUGGGACGGUACUGACGCUGAGACGCGAAAGCGUGGGGAGCGAACAGG
rnacentral:rRNA from 1 species